GAUGAACGCUGGCGGCGUGCCUAAUACAUGCAAGUCGAGCGAACGGACGAGAAGCUUGCUUUUCUGAUGUUAGCGGCGGACGGGUGAGUAACACGUGGAUAACCUACCUAUAAGACUGGGAUAACUUCGGGAAACCGGCGCUAAUAUCGGAUAAUCUUUUGAACCGCAUGGUUCAAAAGUGAAAGACGGUCUUGCUGUCACUUAUAGAUGGAUCCGCGCUGCAUUAGCUAGUUGGUAAGGUAACGGCUUACCAAGGCAACGAUGCAUAGCCGACCUGAGAGGGUGAUCGGCGACACUGGAACGGAGACACGGUCCAGACUCCUACGGGAGGCAGCAGAAGGGAAUGUUCCGCAAUGGGCGAAAGCCUGGCGGAGCAACGCCGCGUGAGUGAUGAAGGUCUUGGGAUCGUAAAGCUCUGUUAUGAGGGAAGAACAGAUGUGUAAGUAACUGUGCACAGCUUGACGGUACCUAAUCAGAAAGCAACGGCUAACUACGUG
rnacentral:rRNA from 1 species